rnacentral:rRNA from 1 species
CCUUACCAACCCUUGACAUCCUGGGGUACAUCCAGAGAUGGAUGUUUCCCUUCGGGGACGCAGUGACAGGUGCUGCAUGGCUGUCGUCAGCUUGUGUCGUGAGAUGUUCGGUUAAGUCCGGCAACGAGCGCAACCCACAUCUUCAGUUGCCAGCAGUUCGGCUGGGCACUCUGGGGAAACUGCCCGUGAUAAGCGGGAGGAAGGUGUGGAUGACGUCAAGUCCUCAUGGCCCUUACGGGUUGGGCUACACACGUGCUACAAUGGUGGUGACAGUGGGUAAAUCCCCAAAACCCUUGUCAGUUCGGAUUGCAGUCUCGACUACCCCCAUGCUUCCCCCCGCCGCGCUUUCCUUCCCCGACUCUUCCG